rnacentral:rRNA from 1 species
GACGAACGCUGGCGGCGUGCUUAACACAUGCAAGUCGAACGGAAAGGCCCCUUUGGGGGUCCUCGAGUGGCGCACGGGUGAGUAACACGUGAGUAACCUGCCCUUGACUUCGGGAUAACUUCAGGAAACUGGGGCUAAUACCGGAUAGGAAUCCUUGCUGCAUGGUGGGGGUUGGAAAGCUUCGGCGGUUUUGGAUGGACUCGCGGCUUAUCAGCUUGUUGGUGGGGUAGUGGCUUACCAAGGCUUUGACGGGUAGCCGGCCUGAGAGGGCGACCGGCCACAUUGGGACUGAGAUACGGCCCAGACUCCUACGGGAGGCAGCAGUGGGGAAUAUUGCACAAUGGGCGGAAGCCUGAUGCAGCAACGCCGCGUGCGGGAUGACGGCCUUCGGGUUGUAAACCGCUUUCAGCAGGGGCGAAGCUUGUGGUGACGGUACCUGCAGAAGAAGCACCGGCUAACUACGUG